UUGAAUCAUUUGAUUCGGUAACUUUUUAUUUUUUUGUAAAUCUUUUGAAAUCUUUUGAAAUCUUUUUAUUAAAUCUCGCCAUCCCGCCGCAAAAAUUUCAUACAUAUUUUUGUCGUAGUGUAUACUUCUGUCAAACUUUUUUGGUGUCUGUUCUUUCAAAAACAUUACCGAUCAGAAUUUUCUUUGGAUGCAUUGAUCCGAAUGUGUUACCCAGGAACAGUCCGCAGAACUACCAGCAGCAAAAUUCUAGGAGAUUCUGUUCGCUCAAGCCUCUGAUGGGCCUCGCAAAACGCUCAACUUUGCUACUCCCGGACCAUUCCCGGACCAAAACGUGUAUAAAACCGGAUCUCGUGAGGAAAUGAGUUCCGUGGAUCAAGUUUCUCUUUAACCAAGCAGACGGAAACCAUUGAGUGCUCCUCAAACUUGAAGGUGCCCGGUAACAUAAAAAGCAAUACUGGUACUGCCGAUGCCGUGAGGGUCGCGUUGGCUACGAGACAACUAUGACAGAUAACGGUUUGCGGGUUGAGUUUCUUCGCGAGAGAAACGAGCACGGUGGAGUGAAAAACACAUGAGAUCGGGGCAAUCACAGGGCUCCCAGUUCCGCGUCAUGGUAAUAAGAUUGUUUGCUUCUGGCUCGUGGGAGAUUCGUCCAUAAUGCGAUGUGCAUUCUCGGUUACGCCAGCAAGACCAAUUGGAAACAUCAUUCAAACGAAUCGGUGCAUAUGGAUGCACGCAUUUGGGGUUCUCUUCCCCAUUAAGAAAUGGGAUUAUUAGAAAUUCCGGUGAGAUAAGCCGCGAUAAAAACGAAGAGCAGCACGAAUGCGAUUGCGAGAAGAAACUACCAAUAAUGACAACAAAAGCGUUGAUCAUCUAGAGUUGGCCGCUGAUCUGAGGAAAGUAAAGGUACCUAAUGCUGUAAAAGGGAAUCCAGUCAAAGUUUAUAUAGAUACGUGAUACUAUAGCACACAGAUGGCUAAAUAUGUGCUGAAUUGGUGGCUGCCAUUGAAAAAAAGCAUCAGAGACUUCGACUUCGUAACGAUACCAAUCUAUUUUGAUUUGACACGGUAUACUGCAAUAAUGGGAUUGGACAACAAGGCAGCAGGUCUUCAGUGGUGAUCGCAAACUGCGAAUAUAGGCAAAGUUCAGACUAUGGAUGUACGACCGAACAAUUAUAUUCAGGAACUACACAUUGUUCAUCAACGUCGACGGCAAGAACUGCCAGUUGGUGAGAGCUCCCUGAAAACUGAACAACACCCAAGAUAUCGA